GGGGUACAAUGAGGAACCCAAGACAGGCAGCCAGGCAGCUUCCUAAUGUUCUUUCAGCAUCUGGGAAAGAUGCAUUGUCUUUUCCAAAAAAACAAUUUCACUAAGUUCUUCCCAGGAGAGAGGAAAACGAAGCUCAAAUACCAGAACUACAGGAAUAGCCGGAGGCUGAUGAGCCCCGACAGGCGACAGGCGGGAGCUGUGGGCUCCCACUGACAGCCUCGUCUGCAAUAACAGAGGAGCCGUCGUGGGCAGCGCUUUGAAAAAUGGGUCCCUUAGGCUCGGUGCCCCCAGAUCCAGGAGUCAGAUGCCACAUCCAGAUGGCUCCUGCACAGCACAUUAAGAAAGAAAGAGGGGCAGGUUGUAGAGGAGUAGGAAGGGGGCCGUGCCCCGAGGAGAGGAAGGGCUGGGCCGCCCGGAGCUCCUGGAUCAGGUCUGGCUGGAGUUGGAAGUAACUGCAUUAUGGGAAAGAUUGAAAGGUUAAUAUGAAACCAGCCAAUACUGAACAAGAACAAUUAGGAAGGUUAAGGAGCUUAAUAUUAGAUUAAUGGCUGCUGGAGGAUAAAGUUCACAGCUUCCGGGAAAGAAGUCUGACUCAGAGAAAUCUUUUUAGUUAACAGCUCUUGGUCUGUCUGGUUUUGUUGAUAUUCUUUUUUCUUCCUGGUAAUUGAGAGAAAAUUAUCAUUCAUUCACAAACGAUGCAUUCUCUCCUCUCCCCUUCCUUCUCUCUCUCUCUCUUUCUGUUUGGAAAUGUCUGACUUUCUUCAGGUUCUGGAAUGAAUUUUAGAGUCCCACCUGUUCAGCAGGCUUUACUCCACACUCGUUUCCACCGAGAAGGUUCUCCCCCAUGAGUUUUCAAGUUGGCAUUUUCAGAGGCCUGGAUGAUGGAGACCAGACUUGCUCCCACAGAGUCAGGUUCGGGCCUAAAACAACCUCAUGAGCUGGAUCACGAGAGCUCAGAAGCCCAACACCAGAAGGGCCCUUAGAGAUGCCCACCCCAGGGCAAUGGUUUUCAAACUGUGAUCCUAGGCACCCUGGGGUUCCACGGAGGAACCUCAGAGACCACAGAGAGGAAAGAGCAGAAGCCCACGGGGAGGAGCUUCAGGCCCCUCUCCACCACCACCGCUUCACCCAGGGAGCUCUCUCCACUUCUGCACCUUGUAUUAUCGCUGAAGAGGAGCAGAAUAUGUCACCCAAAAUAUACCACCUUGGUAUAUUGAGUAUUUUGAAUUAAAGGCACUAAGAAACAGUCAGUACAGGAAAGACCCUCUGAGCCUCCUUUGUCCCCCUGAAAGCAGGAGAUAAAUCUGCCACAUGAAAGCUGCUCCCCCCGUACUGGGAGGAAGGGAGCCAUCCUCCUCACCAGAGACAGGCAAUUUAGGGCCGACAAGGCUGUACCACCAAACCUGGUAACCUCUUCACACUUACCACCUCUAGCCC
rnacentral:lncRNA from 1 species